UGUUGCAGUUAAAAAGCUCGUAGUCGAACCUUGGGUCUGGCUGGCCGGUCCGCCUCACCGCGAGUACUGGUCCGGCUGGACCUUUCCUUCUGGGGAACCCCAUGGCCUUCACUGGCCGUGGCGGGGAACCAGGACUUUUACUGUGAAAAAAUUAGAGUGUUCAAAGCAGGCCUUUGCUCGAAUACAUUAGCAUGGAAUAAUAGAAUAGGACGUGUGGUUCUAUUUUGUUGGUUUCUAGGACCGCCGUAAUGAUUAAUAGGGAUAGUCGGGGGCGUCAGUAUUCAGCUGUCAGAGGUGAAAUUCUUGGAUUUGCUGAAGACUAACUACUGCGAAAGCAUUCGCCAAGGAUGUUUUCAUUAAUCAGGGAACGAAAGUUAGGGGAUCGAAGACGAUCAGAUACCGUCGUAGUCUUAACCAUAAACUAUGCCGACUAGGGAUCGGACGGUGUUUCUAUUAUGACCCGUUCGGCACCUUACGAGAAAUCAAAGUUUUUGGGUUCUGGGGG
rnacentral:rRNA from 1 species